rnacentral:rRNA from 1 species
GCAGUCGAACGGUGAAGCCCCGCUUGCGGGGUGGAUCAGUGGCGAACGGGUGAGUAACACGUGAGCAACCUGCCCCUGACUCUGGGAUAAGCGCUGGAAACGGCGUCUAAUACUGGAUACGAGACGUGAUCGCAUGGUCAACGUUUGGAAAGAUUUUUCGGUUGGGGAUGGGCUCGCGGCCUAUCAGCUUGUUGGUGAGGUAAUGGCUCACCAAGGCGUCGACGGGUAGCCGGCCUGAGAGGGUGACCGGCCACACUGGGACUGAGACACGGCCCAGACUCCUACGGGAGGCAGCAGUGGGGAAUAUUGCACAAUGGGCGCAAGCCUGAUGCAGCAACGCCGCGUGAGGGAUGACGGCCUUCGGGUUGUAAACCUCUUUUAGCAGGGAAGAAGCGAGAGUGACGGUACCUGCAGAAAAAGCACCGGCUAACUACGUGCCAGCAGCCGCGGUAAUACGUAGGGUGCAAGCGUUAUCCGGAAUUAUUGGGCGUAAAGAGCUCGUAGGCGGUUUGUCGCGUCUGCUGUGAAAUCUGGGGGCUCAACCCCCAGCCUGCAGUGGGUACGGGCAGACUAGAGUGCGGUAGGGGAGAUUGGAAUUCCUGGUGUAGCGGUGGAAUGCGCAGAUAUCAGGAGGAACACCGAUGGCGAAGGCAGAUCUCUGGGCCGUAACUGACGCUGAGGAGCGAAAGGGUGGGGAGCAAACAGGCUUAGAUACCCUGGUAGUCCACCCCGUAAACGUUGGGAACUAGUUGUGGGGUCCAUUCCACGGAUUCCGUGACGCAGCUAACGCAUUAAGUUCCCCGCCUGGGGAGUACGGCCGCAGG